rnacentral:tRNA from 1 species
AUGACUGAGAUUAAAGUGACAGAUUUUUAAUCUGUAGACGGGUAGCAGGCCCU